rnacentral:ncRNA from 1 species
AAUACCCAAAUAUAACACUGGGACUAAGGGUCAAAUUGGUAAUUUUUCUUACAUCUCCCCCCCCAGGGGCCCAGGUUAUCAUAUACCAC